rnacentral:rRNA from 1 species
CAGUCGCCGCGGUAACACGUAGGUGGCAAGCGUUGUCCGGAAUUAUUGGGCGUAAAGGGCUCGCAGGCGGUUUCUUAAGUCUGAUGUGAAAGCCCCCGGCUCAACCGGGGAGGGUCAUUGGAAACUGGGAAACUCGAGUGCAGAAGAGGAGAGUGGAAUUCCACGUGUAGCGGUGAAAUGCGUAGAGAUGUGGAGGAACACCAGUGGCGAAGGCGACUCUCUGGUCUGUAACUGACGCUGAGGAGCGAAAGCGUGGGGAGCGAACAGGAUUAGAUAACGCGUAGUCCCUGUCUCUUAUACA